UACGGAGGGGGCUAGCGUUGUUCGGAAUUACUGGGCGUAAAGCGCGCGUAGGAGGACAUGCAAGUCGGGGGUGAAAGCCCGAGGCUCAACCUCGGAACUGCCUUCGAUACUGCGGGUCCCGAGUCCGGGAGAGGUGAGUGGAAUUCCUAGUGUAGAGGUGAAAUUCGUAGAUAUUAGGAAGAACACCAGUGGCGAAGGCGGCUCACUGGCCCGGUACUGACGCUGAGGCGCGAAAGCGUGGGGAGCAAACAGG
rnacentral:rRNA from 1 species